rnacentral:rRNA from 1 species
UACAGAGGGGGCUAGCGUUAUUCGGAAUCAUUGGGCGUAAAGAGCGUGUAGGCGGCCCGAUAAGUCCGCUGUGAAAGUCCAGGGCUCAACCCUGGGAUGCCGGUGGAUACUGUCGGGCUCGAGUCCGGAAGAGGAGUGUGGAAUUCCUGGUGUAGCGGUGAAAUGCGCAGAUAUCAGGAGGAACACCAAUGGCGAAGGCAGCACUCUGGGACGUGACUGACGCUGAGACGCGAAAGCGUGGGGAGCAAACAGG